UAGUCCCAUUGGUCGUAAUAGAAAGAGAUUCCUGGAGCGAAGUAAGAUCUCGGAGUUUUACGCUUGUUCCUAUAACGACGGAGGGGAGGGUUUUCAAUCUCGAUCUUCGUAUUAGUUGGAAAAACUUCCUUUCUUUAUCGAAAAAAGAUCAAGAGUUAAAUUCCUCUUGUCCUAAUCUGCCAGUCUUAGCUUCAACCUCUGUGUACUUGCCUCUUUCGAUUGAUUCUUUGUAUGGAUGGAUGCGUCUCUUUGGGUCGGAGCGCUGGCUUAAAGCUUUAGGUCUACCUUCAACUAGAAAGAGUAUGGCCUCUGCCUUAUGUUCAUCCGAUACGGAUACAUAUGCCUAGGAUUUAGAGCUGUGGUUCGGGAUCUCUGUUGGACGGCAAUUCUUUCCUUUGCCUGUAAACAGAACUGUAGUAACAUGAUCUUGAUAGAGAGCUGCUUCGAUUGCAUGUGAGUCUAAGACAAAGGGCCUUUAGGAGAGGGAACUGAAUCACCGACUCCCUUCUCUAGUCCCACGCUUCACUU
rnacentral:misc_RNA from 1 species